AGUUUUCUCACGUCUUCGACGUCUGAUAUCUUUAGAAAGUACCGCGCGUGUUGUGUUCACUUUGUGGUGCUGCUCAUUGUCGCGUGUUUCUGGGUCUUCAGCCGUGAGCUGUUUAUAUUCUUCAUAAUUUUCCUCCAACUUGAGUGACUUGAAUUUCUAAUCUCAGUCAUAUUGCCUUCCUAGUGGUGUGAGCUAGCGGUUAUGUAUCUGGGACAGACUCUAGGUUCUGUAAUAUUCAUGUAAUGUGUCUUGACAUUCGCUAUCCGUUAUAGACUCCUGAAAUCAUCUUCGAAAAUGCAUCAACAAAUUUAUUAUGCUAAUAGUGUCAUUAGGAAUUAGAUCUCGAUGCGAAGUCAUUGUUCCUUUUGAUACCUCCGCUGGGGCAUCCUGUUACUUGAAAUGGCAAACAGAAAAUAUGGGCAUCGAUUCCGGGCAACCAGUAGAACUUUAUUUUGGCAGAGACACGCAGUGGAAGAUAAUAUAUUACUAGCAAACAAAUUCAGUCGUCUGUUUGUAAAAAUGGAUUGUUGUGACCUAUACGUCUUGACAGACUCUUCGCGUUUGCUGCCGGAUCCUGAAAUCAAACAGUUUGUCAACAAGUGGCCACGAAAGCCUUAACAAUUUCUAUUUUCAAUAUUUCGGCGAUCCAACUGUUCUCCAUCUUCAGGAGAACGCUGCUUCUGUUGCUGAGUCCCGUUGAGCACUGUUCUGUCUCAGCAGCGUUCUCCUGAAGAUGGCGAACAGUUGGAUCGCCAAAAUAUUGAAUAGAUUUCAGGAUCCGGCAGCAAACCUGAAGAAACUUUCAAGGCUUAUUACGCCGGGAAAGACUACUAAUUUCGCAGGGAAAGUACUAUAACCAGGGAACUACGCUUUUGUUGAGGAGGCUCUUAGAUAAAAUCGCAGAAUCCUGAAAGUGGUGUUUUCAUUCCGAAAUACACAUAGGUCUGACAAACCAAUAUUACGAACGUUUGACGAUUGUUGCUGAUAACUUAAAAGAACAUAUGAUUUUUGGUGCCAUACCUGUUCACGUGUUAGGAACGACAUCGCCCGUAAAAAUUUGAAAAGGCUGCGCAAACUAUCUCUUACAAGAGCAGAAUCCAGCUGCGUGGUUCGACAUCUUAUAGCGGUCUGUUCCACAGUUUAACAGCUGUGCAGCUGUGGCGUCUCCCAUCUGUUUCCUAGGGUUUGUUUAUGUUACUAUGAGUGAUGGUAAGAUGCUGCAUCUCAGGACGAAAUAUGUAUAUUUUAGGCCAAACAUCACAGCUAUCAACAUUUCAGGUUAUGAUUAGAGCUUCGCCACCAGUGACGAUAUCAUUAUAUGGUGGAAGGUGUACCAGCGUCGAUUUUGGAUGUUGUACGCCAAUAAUAAUUGCGAUUUGAACAGUUUCUGAUGUUAAUGAUGAAAGAGACUUAAAAAGUGGGAGACGAGCGAACUCUAAAAUGAAUGAAGCAUGCAUGAGUCACAAAACUGAUCGCCACCAGCUUACAGAUUUUCCAGAAACAGUUUUAUAUACUCAACUAAGUGUGGUAUGGAAUAAAACACUGGAUUUGGAAGUAGUACUACGAGAACAUGAACGGGGCUAUCCAAGAAGAAAUUGACCCAUUUCUUAUUUUUGUCAAUUAGCAAAUUUAAGUGCGUGAACUACCUGAUGUGGCACUAGCUGAAAUGUUGGACCAAGACACAGGUGUUCGAGAUUCUGUUGUCCGCAGCACCACAGCAGCAGCAUCCCACAGUCGACAUAACCGAUUUGUCGGAUCUGCUUUUCAAAUACCCUGUGCCACAGUCGGCGUCUGCAUCUCAGGAGCAGUAGCUGUUGGAUUUUACUCAACCUGCAGUUAAGUGGUUGCAGAAUACUGUUCUUUGCCAAUACUUACAACGCGACUUCCAGAGGAUCGAAAAGGCCUAGCACUGGACGGCGAUUUAGAUGUAAUAAUUGAAAUUGAGAAUGUUCAGCGCUUGGUGCUAAAGUGCAGUAUGCAUGGUAUAAGUGGGACUAUCUGUGUAGCAUAUUGGAAUACAUUAAAAAGAAAAUGACUACCGACUAUGACCUAUCACAUAUUCCUAAUGAUGUCGGUAAGUUUGGCAGGAAAGCGUCCAUUGUCUAUGUAUGGACAAGCAAAGAUGGAAUUAACUUAUGGACACUCAUGCAUUUACAUUAAACAUUCGAGUGUUGUGAACUUAAUGUGGUACAGAGCGAUUUCAAGGCAUACAGAAAACAAUUGUUUGCGAAAUAUUGC